rnacentral:lncRNA from 1 species
AAGGAAAAUGGGCGCCCAAUUGACUUUCAUAGAGAAGAUGAAGAUUGAAAUUUUGAAUCCUUUCUAUUUCCUCAAACACGCUAACAAAAACCAAGGAGAUAAUUUUAGGGUUACUUACACGUUGAUGAUCUAAACCCCUUUACUCUUCUUGCUUCCUCACUUCUCCAUUUUGCUUCCUUCACCGCCAUUCCAUCACUCUCUCUCUCUCCGUUUGUCCAAAAUGUGGACGAAACUAGCACCAACCACCGCCACCGCCGCCGCUACAGUCACUGACGGACCGGAUAACCAAACUCCGACCGAAAAUUCUAGGGUUAAGUUGAAGCUAGAAGACAUAAAUUGGGAUCACAUUCGUUCGUGAGUUGCCAGGCAAUCCGUUAACCGAUAUCACUUCUCGCGAGUGGUUCUUUGUUCGAUUUGAUGCCAGUAGAUAGAGAGAUAGAACAGAUUUGAUCGCCAGAGAAAGAUAGAACAUAUUUGAUCACCGGUGAAGGACCUUCGGCCAACGACUGUUUUAGAGGAAAGGGGAUUAUUGUAGAUAUCUGACAGAAUUUAAGUCUGGUAAUGACAAGAAAGAGGUUGCAGAUCUUUCAAUGAAAGCGUAUGAGGUAUAGGCAUUUACUUUUUACGGGAAUUGCAACACAUUUCCCUUUAAAGUGAGAUACUUUUAUUUUACUCAUUUGACCAGUUAGAGCUAAAACAUAACCGACAUGAACCCAUUCAAAAGUAAAUGCUGGUCCUUUCUCAAUUAUUUGAGGUUAUGUCAAGUCUUUACGGGUUAGACAAUAUUCUAAAUUCAGCCGAUAGGUUUGCUCAAGUUAAAUUGAUUCGUACCAAUAUUGUUUUUGAAUAUUAGUUAACCUGUGCUUACUGCUUAUUGUGCUUAGGGCCUGUCACCUAGCCAAAAUUGAUCCGUAUCGAGCCACAUUUUCAGGCUAAUUGUUUAGAUUUUAGAGUUAAUUAAUGCAUAAAAUACUUAUGUCAGUAUACCAUUGAUGUGCCCGACAACACUGUUAAAUAAGAUAUUUUUCUGUGAAGUAAUUGCCCUAAUUUAUUCAAUUUAUGUUUUUUUUUGUCUCGGUAAGGUCUUUCAAACAUGUGUCUUACUAUGUGAAGUUUUUGUUUUAUAGAUAUAGAUAUUUUUAACACAACCCAUAACCCGUGAAACUCACGAGUAUAUAACCUAGUUAGGUAUAUAUUAAACAUUCCCUUUUUGUAAACUGAAAAAGAAAUUACAAUAUCAGAUGAAACCGUGAUCUUUUAAAAAACUUAUCAACGGUUUUUUCGACUAUAAUAUAUAUUGUUGGGUAAUGUGCGGUUUUUACGACUAUGAUAUAUUUUGUUGGGAAACUAGUUUUGCCCCGCACGCGUUGCGGGGCAAAAAGACAAAUAUUUCUCUCUCAUAACAUGUAUGUCUGUACAGAGGGCAAAAUCGGAACUAUAUUUUGAACCGGAGACGAAAUCAUGAUUUUAAACUGAGAGCAAAAUCAUAAUUUUGAGCUAGGGGGAAAACAUAAUUUUAUUUUUAACUGUGGGAGAAAACGUAAUUUUGAGCUGAGGGCAGAAUCGUAAUUUUGAGCUAGAGGAAAAAACAACAUUUUAUUUUUAACUGGGGGCAAAAACGUAAUUUUAAACGGAGUGCGAAACCGUAAUUUUAAACUGGGAACAAAAUUAAAAAGGAGUUUUUGAACCAAGGGCAAAAUCGUAUUUUGAGCUAGGACAAAAGUACAAUUUUAUUUUGAACUGUGGGCAAAAACGUAAUUUUAAACGAAGGACGAAAGCGUAAUUUUAA